UACGUAGGGUGCAAGCGUUAAUCGGAAUUACUGGGCGUAAAGCGUGCGCAGGCGGUGAUGUAAGACAGUUGUGAAAUCCCCGGGCUCAACCUGGGAACUGCAUCUGUGACUGCAUCGCUGGAGUGCGGCAGAGGGGGAUGGAAUUCCGCGUGUAGCAGUGUAAUGCGUAGAUAUGCGGAGGAACACCGAUGGCGAAGGCAAGCCCGUGGGCCUGCACUGACGCUCAUGCACGAAAGCGUGGGGAGCAAACAGG
rnacentral:rRNA from 1 species